UACAGAGGUCUCGAGCGUUGUUCGGAUUCAUUGGGCGUAAAGGGUGCGUAGGUGGCGCUGUAAGUCAGGUGUGAAAUUUCGGAGCUUAACUCCGAAACUGCAUUUGAUACUGCGGUGCUUGAGGACUGGAGAGGAGACUGGAAUUUACGGUGUAGCAGUGAAAUGCGUAGAGAUCGUAAGGAAGACCAGUGGCGAAGGCGGAUCUCUGGACAGCUACUGACACUGAGGCACGAAGGCCAGGGGAGCAAACGGG
rnacentral:rRNA from 1 species